UUGAUAGGACACGAUCUCGAUUAGGAUUAAACAUUAGGACAAAUAUAGAGCAGAAAAGCAAUUGUUGUUAUAUUGAUAAUCCAAUAGAAUCAAGUGAUUCUAUGGCUGAAUUACACUAUAAGAUUGAAUGAUAAAAUACAGAAAAUAUAAAGAUAAGCUAGGUAAUUCGAGACACCUAGAAUCUCCCAAGUAGAGUGACUACUAAAAUUAAUCCAUAAAAAAACAAUGGCAAGGAACAUUCUUCUAUUUAAUCAAUCAGAUACAGAUCUAUUUUCUCUUCCCUCGCCGAAUAAGGAAACAUUCCUAUAAUGGUAUGAUUAGCUGUAUCUUUCUGCCCAAGUUUCCUUUUAUAAAAUCUGUCAUAACUAUCAGAUAUUAAAGAUGAUAAUUCCUUAAAUGAUAAUGUCUUCUAUUUCCAAAUAUAUUUCUUAUUCAUCUAACUUGUUAAUACUGUUGCGGUAUGGAUGUUUCUUGAUUCUUUCCUACAAGUUUGCUCAAAAUGCCCUGAAAUGAGGGAAAUUGAUAUAUCUUUUCCCCAGAAGAAAUGUGAGAUUAACUUGUUUUUGACAGUUUUAAAAUUACUUAUUUUAUUUAAAAUUGAAAAUCUAUGUUCCGUUUAAAUAAAAUGCGCCUCUUUAGGGAAUUUUGUUCCUGUAGUAUGUUCAUUAUGUUGAAGUGUAGCAUAUCAAAUAGAGAUGAUUUAUGAUUGGCAGUUCAACUUGUAGAUUAUGAGUUACAUUGUUAACAGAGGUUGGGUAAGGAUAGUAGUAUUGUUGUUACUAGCAUAUCCUGCUGAAGUUAUUAUUAUUACUGUUAUCAUUUUGAAUCUCUCAAGAAAAGUGAGUCAAGCUUGCCAUCAGUUAUUACAACAACUUUGGAAAGUUUAUUUUGAUCCAUUGAGAAGGUUCUCAAAUUCCAUCCUGGUCUUUUUUGAAGUUAACCGGGCUGGGUUUGAUUCUGCAAAUUAGAGUUUCAGGUUGGGAUGAAUGAGUCACGUUUUGGGAAGAAAAUGGUUUUCUGAAUCACACAACAGCCAGACUAGUUGAAGCUAUUAAAGACAAAGAACAAAGAAAGAGUACCAUCUUUGGACUUCUAUAUUUCACGCUUCAUUUGAGCUUGGUCAGCCUUUGAAAGUGCAAGGUAUGACUAUGAUGAUAUGCAGUGAUUCAGUGACCUUUGUUCUUCUCAUUUUUAGCCAAAAUCUAAUUGUUAUAUUUGCAGUGAGUCAGUGAUAUUUGUUCUUCUCAUUGUAAUUGUUUUAUCUGGAGAAGUUAAGCAAUCUGAGUAAAGUUGUUAAAAUUUAUCAUUCCCUCCUAGUCCUACAAUUUCUUUGGAGGUUUACAAUCAUGGUCAGAUAAUGCUUGGAGGGGUCAUUGUGGGAUUGCCCAGGAAGAUUGUAAAAUCGGUCAAAUUGCCAAUCUUCAUUUGCUGGGCCAUUGACCCGUUAAAAGCCCAAGUGAAAACUUAAUUUUCAUCGAUAUCCUUCCCCUUUUUGGUGUGACAAGAUGUUAAUUUUGUCAACCUUGAGAUUCAAAAUAUAAAGUGAAAAAGUUAUCAAUGCUUAGGCUUUUGUUUGAAUAUUUAUUAGAAAGUGAAAUGAAAAUAAAUGAAUUACAAUAAACUAGAAUGGAAUGGAAUGUAAUGAAACAAUGUUAGCAUUCUACUAGUUGGAUAUUUCUAUGUCAGUAAUUCAGGGUAAGAUGAAUGUUUCAUGAUGUAAAACUGGCAUUUUUAGCAGUGAUGAUAUUUGGCCUUUUCAGAUUGUCUUCUUUCUAAGUAACUGUAUCAGGUAAAAUUUGUGUUCUCAUUUAGUGGGUUCACAAUUAGUUCAGUUACAUUUUUACAGCCUUUGUUUUGUUAUGGUUUUUUGGGUUUGGGUGAUAUCCCUUCAAACUUACAGUAUCUAAUGUUGUAUGUAUCAGUGUUGUCAAAUAGCGGCGCCAUAGUGUAGUGAAAUUUGAACAAACCGCUAUUGUUCGGAGAUGCACUAUUUAAUGCAAGUGUUGUCAAAUAGAAGCUAUAGUACUUCAGCAUGGCUGAAUUUGAACAAACUACUAUUUUCCUGAUCUGGAGUCCGCAAUUGACAACAAUAUUAGUAUGUAAAUUUCGACAUCUACUCAACCUGUUCAAUAUUUGUUUCUUUAUUCUUUGACUUGUUAUUUGAAUUAUAUAUUUUUUGAUAUGAUCUGAGUUAUAUUGAAAUCAGUAGAGUAUGUAGAUUGCAUCCAGAUUAAUCCUAGGUCUCC
rnacentral:lncRNA from 1 species